rnacentral:rRNA from 1 species
UACGGGGGGUGCGAGCGUUGUCCGGAAUCACUGGGCGUAAAGGGCGCGUAGGUGGUUUGAUAAGGGUGUGGUGAAAGUCCGGAGCUCAACUCCGGAUCUGCCGUGCCGACUGUCAAACUCGAGGGCUGUAGAGGCAGACGGAAUUCCGGGUGUAGCAGUGGAAUGCGUAGAGAUCCGGAGGAAGACCGGUGGCGAAGGCGGUCUGCUGGGCAGUUUCUGACACUGAGGCGCGACAGCGUGGGGAGCAAACAGG